rnacentral:rRNA from 1 species
UACAGAGGGGGCAAGCGUUAUUCGGAUUUAUUGGGCGUAAAGAGCGUGUAGGCGGCCACACAGGUCUGCUGUGAAAACUCGAGGCUCAACCUCGAGCUGUCGGUGGAAACCGUGUGGCUAGAGUCCGGAAGAGGAGAGUGGAAUUCCCGGUGUAGCGGUGAAAUGCGCAGAUAUCGGGAAGAACACCCGUGGCGAAGGCGGCUCUCUGGGACGGUACUGACGCUGAGACGCGAAAGCGUGGGGAGCGAACAGG